CAUGCGUGCUGAAGUACUUCCUUUCCAGUCCAGCAAGCAAGACUAAGAGCGAAGAUUUGAAUUGCAAAUCAAACUAUUUCACUGCAAAGAAAACCAUCGACGUCCAUAAAGAUUCAGAAAUUGGAGACAGUGGAGGAACUACUCGACCUUGACGAGUUGAUAAAAACUCAACCAAGCAAGAAAGAUUUGCUGACAGCCAGGCUCUCAAAGAUUGGUGGAUAUGACUUAAAAAGCUGUUUAAGCACCAUCAUGGACAGGCUCAUGACAAAUUAAUUAAUGUCCAAUCUGAACAUGAAGGGGAGAGGGGGAAAAAAAUAGCUUUGCCGAGACGAAGCUGCUCGAUUUAGUCACAGCUAGUGUCUUGGAUACCCAGAAGGGGACCGAAACGAUGGUCCAUGAUGCCAUAAAAAAUAAACUGAAAUAUGCCCCUGGACGGAAGGGAGGAAUAGGAUGGGCAUCACAGGCUAAAUAAAUAAUUAUAUUGAU